rnacentral:rRNA from 1 species
GAUGAACGCUGGCGGCGUGCCUAAUACAUGCAAGUCGAGCGAACAGACGAGGAGCUUGCUCCUCUGACGUUAGCGGCGGACGGGUGAGUAACACGUGGAUAACCUACCUAUAAGACUGGGAUAACUUCGGGAAACCGGAGCUAAUACCGGAUAAUAUAUUGAACCGCAUGGUUCAAUAGUGAAAGACGGUUUUGCUGUCACUUAUAGAUGGAUCCGCGCCGCAUUAGCUAGUUGGUAAGGUAACGGCUUACCAAGGCAACGAUGCGUAGCCGACCUGAGAGGGUGAUCGGACACACUGGAACUGAGACACGGUCCAGACUCCUACGGGAGGCAGCAGUAGGGAAUCUUCCGCAAAGGGCGAAAGCUUGACGGAGCAACGCCGCGUGAGUGAUGAAGGUCUUCGGAUCGUAAAACUCUGUUAUUAGGGAAGAACAAAUGUGUAAGUAACUAUGCACGUCUUGACGGUACCUAAUCAGAAAGCCACGGCUAACUACGUG